GUCUGUUAUCCUAUCAGUGUAUGCAUGUCAGAUCUGUAAGUUUCUGCACAUCCUCAGCUGAAGCAGUCUCUCUAAAGUAAGAUGUUUUAACAGAAAUGGUGAGAGCAAAGUGGUUUGGUGACGAGAAGAAAAACAUAUGCCUUGCUCGUCAGCAGCUUGCCGUUUCUAGCAGUGUACCACUGUCUGUAGAAACCUCAAUUGGCAGCCCUCAAACAAAAAAGUUAAUCUCUGUUUUUGAGCCAAAUGUGUCCUAUUAUAGCUGGUUGGGGCGUGUCAUUGUUGUUUACAACACCAAAUUAAACACAUGGCACUGCCCCUGUUCCAAAGUGCGCCGUUCGUGUCCGCAUAAGUACAUUGCGAAAUGGCAUCUAUUUCAAACAGACCGUAAGCUUUUCCGUACUGUCUUCAGCAGAGAAGAAUCCACACCCCAAAAGGCCUGUAAGUCUUUGUUAAAAAUAUAUAUUUUAACGAAAUAAUAUAAUCUAUUAAAUUGAUCUAUUAACAAUUUUUUCCCCCCUUAUGCAAGUCUGAUUUCCCUCUUAUUCGAAAAUGGUGGUGCCUUAUUCUGAUGGAGAACUUUGCCAUUGAAAGGAAACAUGCUGCCGUUGAUGUGCAGGUGCCACCUAAAGCACAAGAAACUGAAAUCGGUGACAAGGAACCACAGAUAGUAAAAGACCUCAGGACCGCAGUUGCAUGAGGUUUUGUGGAAGAGCCGUGGUAUAUUAACCUAAAUAAGGAAGACCAGGAAAAGGCCCUUCUUAAACUUGAUCAGGCAGAAAAGAAAGAUGAUCUGGAACUGGCCAAAGAGCAUUUCAUGUUUCAGUUCCAGUUUAAGGAAGACAUGGAACUUUUUCUUAGCAAGUGUCAUGAUGAAAGGCUCCUCAGGAUUAACUGCAUUUGUAUGGAGAUUUGAUUUAUUUUAAUUAUUUUUCUCUUGGGAAUUAUUGUUAAAUGUGUGCCUGCAUAACUUUUGUAAGAUUUAUAUUCUUUGGUUUGAUUUAGUUUUAUAUAAUUUAUUUAUUAUUUAGUUAAAUUUUGUAUUUUUAUUUAAUUACUAUUAUUUAUUUGGAGCAGGUACAGCUAGUGUGUGAUUCUUUUGAUAUUUCAAAAGAUGAUUUGAGGAAAAAAACUAAUUUUAUUUAAAUUAAUCAUUUUUGUU